UCAGUAUACUCAUAUUUACAAAUUGAAAACCUCUCUUCUCUCUACUCUCUUCUCUCUCUUCGAAUCCUAAGACUCCCAACUCUGUCGCCCUAAGCAGCCGAGUAGAUUGACGUCUUGUCGUUGCCCGAUUGAAGGAGAAGCUGCUCCGGUGGCACUGGAAACAACUCAACAUCUCUAAUCCCAUUGGUUCUCGAUUUCAGUGAUAAUGAGGUAUGUGAAACCACUAUGCUUGUUUCAAGAUUUGGUUAAGACGACAAAUGCACUCGAACGAGGUCGAUUUUUGGGCUUAGAUGUUGGUGGUAAAUACGUCGGACUUGCAGUUUCAGACCCAGAUAACAAAAUUGCAAUACCUGUAAGUGUUUUACUCCGAAAGAAAUCCAAUAUUAACAUGAUGGCUGCUGAUUUCACAAGUUUGAUAUCAGAGUUUUCUCUAUCAGGCUUUGUUGUUGGUUGCCCUUUCGAUAGACAGCGUCCAAGUGCAGAUGCUGCGCAAGUGAAAGUUUUUGUAGAUGAUCUGUGCAACACUGGGAAACUAGAAGGUGUGAAAUAUACAUAUUGGAACGAGUGCUAUACGUCAAAGAAUGUCGACUUACUUUUGAAGCCACUGUCGUUACAUCCAGUGGAAUUAAAAACUAUGCUUGACAAAUUUGCCGCCGUGGGAAUUUUGCAGGGGUAUCUGGAUUAUGUCAACCGGUGUGGCGUGAAUCCUGAUGUCAAAGAUCAUGCUGGGAACAGCGCAGCUACCUUCACGACUUCACCCUCAUCCUCCAUCGAUCUUCGAUCUUCUUCACCCUCAUCCUCCAUCGAUCUUCUUCACCCUACACCAGGCGCAGCAACAUUUAGAGAGAGUUUCGCUGGAACCGUAGGCCACAGCCGCCGCCGCCGCCGCCUCCAUUGGAGAAUGCCCACUGAAUAGGAAUCGAUCCCUGUCUCCAUCAGUGGUUUGGCUGAAUUGAGUCUCGUUUGGGAGUAAGAAGAUUUACUCCGAUGGCGAAUAUGCCGGAGAAAUUAAACCAGUGUAAGCUUGAUGCUCGCCGUGAACAAUGCCUUUCGCAAGGUCCUGCAUUCAUUUUCUUUUCUUUUUUUGAUUUUUACAGUUGUGUAUUUUUCUUGCAUAAAUUAAAUUGGAAUCUUGCAUCCACUAAUUAUCUAGAGCUUGCUCUCUUUUUUUCAUUCACAAUGAAUUUCCUGGGCCCUUUGAUUGUAUUGGCAUAUCUUUCCUUUUAUAUAUUGUGACUGUCAGGAAGACGUAGGAUAACCUUGGUUAUUAUGGGUGCUUCAUAUGUAACCAUAUCUAACUUGGAUGUUGGAUAACCUUUAUUUUUGGUUGUUUCUGGUUGGUAGUCUUUGUGAUGAUCAGUUGGGAAGUGUAUAUAUGCCUGCUUGCUAUGGUUGUUUUAUUAUUAAUGAAACUUGCAAGUGUCCUGAGGUUUGUGAUGAUCAGUUGGGAAGUUGUUUAUUCUAAUGAAACAGAGAGCAGGUUGCGUAGGUUGUACUAUGGCUAUCAUGAAGAAUGUUUUAAGGUGUCUUUCGGAUCUUUUACCUGUUUGCUGUUUGCUGUUGCUUUUCUGCUGAUCUACCAGUCACUUUUCCAUCUAUUUCACCACCUUAGCUGCAAUUUUCUUCGAUGGAGGUUGUAGGAGUUGAAAUUCUCUCUCUGACAGAACUAUUAGCCAUUUCUUGGACUGGAUUUGGCUGUUGAUGAAAUGACUCUGCAUCAUAUUUGCAUUAAGUGCUUCUUGUACUAACUUUAUGGCUGCAGUCUGUUGCAGUCCAAGUUUCUCUGUCUUUGCAACUUGGUCAUCAACUUCCUAGAGAUUGUUGCUGUUUUUACUCAGCUCCAUAUUCAAGUUACUCAUCUCAUGGCUAUUGUUUCCAUCUCCA